GCACUGCUGACGAGUCCCAAACAGGAUGGAACAGCUGUCCAGUGU
rfam:Echinostoma caproni strain Egypt genome assembly, scaffold: ECPE_scaffold0002491